rnacentral:rRNA from 1 species
CKMAACCYRAGUUUGAUCCUGGCUCAGAUUGAACGCUGGCGGCAUYCCUUACACAUGCAAGUCGAACGGCAGCACGGGGGCAACCCUGGUGGCGAGUGGCGAACGGGUGAGUAAUGCAUCGGAACGUGCCCAGUAGUGGGGGAUAACCCGGCGAAAGCCGGGCUAAUACCGCAUACGACCUAUGGGUGAAAGCGGGGGACCGUAAGGCCUCGCGCUAUUGGAGCGGCCGAUGUCUGAUUAGCUAGUUGGCGGGGUAAGAGCCCACCAAGGCGACGAUCAGUAGCUGGUCUGAGAGGACGACCAGCCACACUGGGACUGAGACACGGCCCAGACUCCUACGGGAGGCAGCAGUGGGGAAUUUUGGACAAUGGGCGCAAGCCUGAUCCAGCCAUGCCGCGUGCGGGAAGAAGGCCUUCGGGUUGUAAACCGCUUUUGGCAGGAACGAAACGGCGCGAGCCAAUACCUCGCGCUAAUGACGGUACCUGCAGAAUAAGCACCGGCUAACUACGUGCCAGCAGCCGCGGUAAUAC